rnacentral:ncRNA from 1 species
GGUCAUGAGUGACAGCUGCAAGGCCCCGGCCGGCUGUCCGGCAACCCUCCGUCCGUGGCGGGGUGCCCCGGGUGAAGACCAGGCCGCACGAGCAGAAGCCUGCGGCAAGCGCGGACC